rnacentral:tRNA from 1 species
GAUCCCAUGGUGUAAUAGGCAGCACUCAGGGCUCUGAACCCUAUAAUCUGAGUUCAACUCUCAGUGGGACCU